UUAAAAUAUAUUUCUCACACAGUGUAGACUGGGCUUCAGACUUCAUCCAAUCGGGGAUGAUGCUCAUUCGCUAUUAUAGUCUAAAAACAUUGCAUCAAGCAAAUGAGGUGCUGAACUCAUGGUUGAUCCCACGUGCUUUUAUCUCGCCCAUAUUACUCUAUUAGGCCGGUAAUAGGAACCAGAGCUAGUAAAGACUCAAGUGCGGAGAGCAGCAUCUAGGAAUCUCUCCACUUGGGUGUAAAUUACAGAGCUGCCUGGGGUGUUCUCUACCCUCUCUCACUGGCACCUUUCCCUGUUUCAUCUACACACACACACACACACACACACACACACACACACACACACACACAUGCACACGUACGAGACAAUGACUAUUACCCGACACACCUGGGUUCUGGGCCCCACAAUCUUCUUAAUAUCUUUUAAAUCUUCACAUAAGGUAUGCCUUCCAUAGGGCUUACAGUACCAUUUGCUCUAAUAAACUCUUUUGGCAGAGGUGCAUGCAAGCUGCUUCCGUGGCCCCCGGAGAGAGGAACGUAAGGCGGAGGGUGAGGCAUCCCAAAAUAUGAGGAUAAAUCGCAGGUUGCCUGAAGAUGCGGUGAGGGAAAUGCUGGCCGAUGUGUGCAAAUGGUCCAGAGCAGGAACAUCACACACACUCCAGCCCCAGGUGACAUCUGCUGGAAUAUUUACAGAGAGAGGCGACGUUCAGAAUGAAAUACUACUUCCUGCACAGUAUGUACUGAAUGCUACUUUUUAAAUAUAGCAUAUAAAAUAGAAUGCAUUAUUCAAAGAUAAACAUUUCAAAAGGCAUUAUGCCACAUUGUUGUCACAUGACCUCAUUACAUGCUUUUUUUAAAUCCAUGAGUGGCAUACAGUUUGCUUGGAAAUGAAAAUGGCUAUUUAUAAUCGGAGUAUGAAAAAUGUCUAUUAGUUGAAGUAUUCCAUUU
ensembl:lncRNA